rnacentral:rRNA from 1 species
UNUGGCUCAGGAUGAACGCUGGCGGCGUGCCUAAUACAUGCAAGUCGAGCGAACAGAUAAGGAGCUUGCUCCUUUGACGUUAGCGGCGGACGGGUGAGUAACACGUGGGUAACCUACCUAUAAGACUGGAAUAACUCCGGGAAACCGGGGCUAAUGCUGGAUAAUAUUUAGAACCGCAUGGUUCUAAAGUGAAAGAUGGUUUUGCUAUCACUUAUAGAUGGACCCGCGCCGUAUUAGCUAGUUGGUGGGGUAAUGGCUUACCAAGGCAACGAUACGUAGCCGACCUGAGAGGGUGAUCGGCCACACUGGAACUGAGACACGGUCCAGACUCCUACGGGAGGCAGCAGUAGGGAAUCUUCCGCAAUGGGCGAAAGCCUGACGGAGCAACGCCGCGUGAGUGAUGAAGGUCUUCGGAUCGUAAAACUCUGUUAUUAGGGAAGAACAAAUGUGUAAGUAACUGUGCACGUCUUGACGGUACCUAAUCAGAAAGCCACGGCUAACUACGUGCCAGCAGCCGCGGUAAUACGUAGGUGGCAAGCGUUAUCCGGAAUUAUUGGGCGUAAAGCGCGCGUAGGCGGUUUCUUAAGUCUGAUGUGAAAGCCCACGGCUCAACCGUGGAGGGUCAUUGGAAACUGGGAAACUUGAGUGCAGAAGAGGAAAGUGGAAUUCCAUGUGUAGCGGUGAAAUGCGCAGAGAUAUGGAGGAACACCAGUGGCGAAGGCGACUUUCUGGUCUGUAACUGACGCUGAUGG